rnacentral:rRNA from 1 species
AGCCCAACUCUAGCCCAACCACUACACAACCAAACACACUUAAAAAUCCACUCAACCCUUUAAACCAAAACAUUUCCGUAGACCUAGUAUAGGCGAUAGAAAAGACUAUCAGGCGCGAUAGAGACCCGUACCGUAAGGGAAAGAUGAAAUAACAGUGAACAAGCCAAGCAAUAAACAGCAAAGAUAAAUCCUUGUACCUCUUGCAUCAUGAUUUAGCAAGAACAACCAAGCAAAGCGGACUUAAGCUUGCCACCCCGAAACCCAAGCGAGCUACUUACGAGCAGCUAUCCUUGAGCGAACCCAUCUCUGUUGCAAAAGAGUGGGAUGACUUGUUAGUAGAGGUGAAAAGCUAAUCGAGCUGGGUGAUAGCUGGUUACCUGUGAAAUGAAUCUUAGUUCUGCCUUGACGCCUCCUCCAAGGACCUUCAGCUACCCCAAUGAAGCGAGUCAAGAGUAAUUUAAAGGAGGUACAGCUCCUUUAAAAAAGAACACAACCUCUCCCAGCGGAUAAUUCCUACUCCUAUAGACAACUCAACUGUGGGCCUUCAAGCAGCCACCAACAAAGAAUGCGUCAAAGCUCCAUUCCUACAAAGAUCCAAAAACUACACGAUUCCCUCAUCACCAACAGGUCAACCUAUAAUAAUAGGAGAAUUAAUACUAAAAUGAGUAACUAGGGUGUACCCCUCUUCAGCACAAACUUACAUCCACACAUUAUUAACAGACAACUAAUACCCCCACCACAACAAGACCACAUAUUUAACCCUCUGUUAACCCAACUCAGGAGUGCAUACUAGAAAGAUUAAAUUCUGUAAAAGGAACUAGGCAAACCCUAAGGCCCGACUGUUUACCAAAAACAUAGCCUUCAGCCAGACCAAGUAUUGAAGGUGAUGCCUGCCCAGUGACUCCAUGUUCAACGGCCGCGGUAUCCUAACCGUGCGAAGGUAGCGCAAUCAAUUGUCCCAUAAAUCGAGACUUGUAUGAAUGGCUAAACGAGGUCUUAACUGUCUCUUACAGACAAUCAGUGAAAUUGAUCCCCCUGUGCAAAAGCAGGGAUAAACACAUAAGACGAGAAGACCCUGUGGAACUUAAAAAUCAGCAGCCACCCCAUAAUAAAACUCAACCUACUAGGCCUACCACUACAACAACGUUGGCCUGCAUUUUUUCGGUUGGGGCGACCUUGGAGAAAUACGAAUCCUCCAAAAAUAAGACCACCCUCUUAACCAAGAGCAACCCCUCAACGUACUAAUAGUAACCAGACCCAAUAUAAUUGAUCAAUGGACCAAGCUACCCCAGGGAUAACAGCGCAAUCCCCUUUAAGAGCCCAUAUCGACAAGGGGGUUUACGACCUCGAUGUUGGAUCAGGACAUCCUAAUGGUGCAGCCGCUAUUAAGGGUUCGUUUGUUCAACGAUUAAUAGUCCUACGUGAUCUGAGUUCAGACCGGAGUAAUCCAGGUCGGUUUCUAUCUAUGAUAAACUUUCCCCAGUACGAAAGGACCGGAAAAGUGAGGCCAAUGCUUCAACACACGCCUCCUCUCUAAGUAAUGACCUCAACUAAAUUACCAAUAGACCUCCCACAACACCUAAUCCUAGAAAAGGACA